CUCCAGAAGUCCCCUGAAACUCUGAACCUGAUCAGAAUUCAAGAUGGAAUCUUCUUUGACCCUAGCAGAACUAAUUAGAUAGCUCAGAUGGUUCAAGUCUCUACCAAUGAAAUCAAACUCUGGAGUUUACACCUCACUCCAAGCAUUUCUCUUUGUGCAGAAGAAAAUUGUACCAAACUCAAGGCCACCCCAGGAUGGUUGAUGCUGUAAAUGUUUUUAUGUCUCCACUCAGGAAAGAACAUCCUCUCCCUCACUUCUCUACAUUGUAUUCUAUAUGGACCACCUCAGUGAUAGCUCCGUGAGCCCUACAGAGAAAGUCAGCUACAGUGAAUAAAUAAGGCUUGGGUAACUAUUAG
rnacentral:lncRNA from 1 species